rnacentral:pre_miRNA from 1 species
AGGACCCUGACUUCAUUUGGUGGAUAGAUUCAUUUACUUCUAGCACCAUUUGAAAUCAGUUUUCU